rnacentral:tRNA from 1 species
GCCGGCGUGGCGGAACAGGCAGACGCACAGGACUUAAAAUCCUGCGGGACUCAAAUCCCGUACCGGUUCGAUUCCGGUCGCCGGCA